GAAGAUCUCAAUAGCCAUAAUCUCCAAGGUAUGACAAGCCCACUUCAGGAGUGGUCUGUUGUUCUUCUUUUGCAGAAUCUCCAGAAAGAUGUCUAGUAAGUUGCCCUAGUAAGUUGCCCUAAAAGUAACAUGCAAAUAAAAUUAUAAUCCUUUUUUUAUCAAAUGUCACGUCAUUUCUAUAUAUAUAGCCAAAUAUCUUAGUUCAAAAAAUUGCACUUGCUCCCGCACAAAUUUGAGGUCGCAUAUGAAGGCCUACUUGAUUGAACCACACCCCAGAUAAAUCAAGAUAUGUAG
rnacentral:lncRNA from 1 species